rnacentral:rRNA from 1 species
UACGUAGGGUGCGAGCGUUAAUCGGAAUUACUGGGCGUAAAGCGUGCGCAGGCGGUUUUGUAAGUCUGACGUGAAAUCCCCGGGCUCAACCUGGGAAUUGCGAUGGAGACUGCAAGGCUAGAAUCUGGCAGAGGGGGGUAGAAUUCCACGUGUAGCAGUGAAAUGCGUAGAGAUGUGGAGGAACACCGAUGGCGAAGGCAGCCCCCUGGGUCAAGAUUGACGCUCAUGCACGAAAGGCGUGGGGAGCAAACAGG